UAAAGGUCGAAAGGGGAGAUUCAGUAUCCAUUCCUCAUCGCCGCUCCGCGCCGCGGGUACAACUCGGGGUGGCCCUUUCGGGGGUCUGCCCUGGGCCCACGGCGCGGUCUCGCGCGCGGGAGGUGGAGCGCACUUCUCCCCGAGUAGGACGCCGCGACCCGCUGGGUGUCGGUCUGAGGCCUGGGUGCGAGCCCGAGUCGCGAUUCGUCGCGUCGCGGAGCCCCGGUGUCCCGACCGACCGCUCGGCGGUCGAACGUGAGGAACUGGCCCGCGCUCUUUUGCGCGCCCGUGCCGCUUGCGAGCGUCCGGCUGAACCCGUUGUGCGGACUUGUCCGCCGCGGGCCAGUCGGCGUUGUCGGCUUGUGGACUUCUCGGGCAGUUGGCCUCUCCUGUUUGCGGCGCUCAAAGCUGGGCGGCCCACCCGGCCCGUCUUGAAACACGGACCAAGGAGUCUAACAUGUGCGCGAGUCAUUGGGUCCCACUAAACCCAAGGGCGUAUUGAACGAGAAGGCCGUCCUUGCGGCGGCCGAGGGAGGAUGGGGCGUCGCUCGCGGCGCCCCCGCAUUCCCGGGGCGUCUCGUCCUACCGGCGCUCGUCGCCGGAAGGUGAGGCGCACCAAGAGCGCACACGUUGGGACCCGAAAGAUGGUGAACUAUGCCUGGCCAGGACGAAGUCAGGGGAAACCCUGAUGGAGGUCCGUAGCGAUUCUGACGUGC
rnacentral:rRNA from 1 species